AAAUUGGCACACAGAUUGGAACCUGCGGCCAUUAGGGCCGGGCAGAGACUGAUACACGGGCGUGGCACAGGGGCUCUACAGCGCCCCCUGGAAUAUGGAGGGCCAUAUAUCAUACAUUCUUGCUCGUAGACGUAUGAAACUCGGUACACAUAUAAAUCUCAUCAAUCCAAACAACUUUUGUAUUGCAUAUCAUAGGCUCCGCCCAACAGGAAGUUGGCUAUUUAGGGUUUAGUAUUCAAAUUUUUCGUCAAAGUUGUGGGGGCUUUUGGGGUCCUUAACAUACUCAAAAACUCUUGAAAAUUUGCGCACACUUUGGAAUCUGUGGCCUUUAGGAGCCUGCAGAGGCUGGGACCCGGGCGUGGCACAGGGGCUCUACGGCGCCCCCUGGAACACAGUCAGAAAUGUUGAUGUAUAGCUCACACAUACUUGCACAUAUUCAUAUGAAACUCAGUACACAUAUAGAUCUCAUCGUGCCGAACAACUUUCGUAUUGCAUGUCAUAGGCUCCGCCCAUCAGGAAGUCAGCUAUUUAGAGUUAUGUAAAAAGCGCAUGCUCUGGAAUUUGAAAUACUUGUCAUAGGUUUUUUGCUCGAUUGCCGCCAAACUCGGUCAACAUGAUCUCAAGACACUGGGGAUGAAAAAUUGCCAGGGGAUUUUUGAUAUCUCGAACGGUUUGCUCGUGGCGAGGCGUUGAAAUUAUGGCGAGAAAUGAGAAACAGGAAGUGUCUAAUACCAUCCACAUACAUUUCCUGAUUUUAAUCAAACUUCAUCAGAUUAUUCGUUGUAUGAUGUCGAUCGCAUAUAUGUGACUAUUAGGAGUCAAAGUUAUAGCGCCACCAACUGGCAGAAGGAAGUGUGUCAUUUUCAAAAUGAUUUGAAUUCAGCAUCUUAUUAUUACUCGAUUUGCUUCAAACUUCAUCAGAAUAAUGUUAAAACACAGCCGAUAUAAAUCUGCAAGGGGGAUAUUGAUAUCUAAAAAAUUGUUGGCGUGGCAACAUGUCAAACUGGAAUACUUCUCAGGUGAUUUUGAGGCAUAUAACAUGCUUAGAAUUUCAUCAAACUCAGAACACAUAUCAGUAUUAGUGACAGCUAGACACUGGCAAAAGUUCAUAAGAGGGCGUGGAAGAGGCACUCUAUAGCGCCACCUUUUGUCAAAAGUGAGGGGGUUAGUUUUAGCUACAGACACCAAACUCAGUACAAAAAUUGUUCUUAUCAAGACGGACAACUUUCUAAUUCACAGUCAUCAGCUACGACCAACAGGAAGUCGGCUAUUUUGAUUUGAAUGUGGAUUGUUUUUUACAUUUAGCUGUGAAUUAAUGCAUACUGCUCAGAGGAGAGUAACACUAUACACACCAAACUUGGUGUACAUGUUGAAAAAACAUUGAGGAACUUAAAUUGUGAAUGGGUUUUGGAUAGCUUGGAUGGUUUUGUCGUGGUGAUUUUUUUAAAUGACAAUAAAGAUGGAACUAUUAA